AAAAUACUCCCUCCGUCCGGAAAUACUUGUCAUCAAAAUGGAUAAAAGGAAAUGUAUCUAGACGUAUUUUAGUUUUAGAUACAUCUCUUUUUAUCCAUUUUGAUGACAAGUAUUUUCAGACGGAGGGAGUACAAA
rnacentral:pre_miRNA from 1 species